CGCGACUCCUGUGUGCCCCUUCCCUCUCUUUGCCGUCCCUAAACCCUAGGGAAGGCGAAGAAGGAGAGGGGAUCCUCGACCCCACAGAGGGUUGCCCCGCGGACGGCAUCGCUGGAGUCUCGGACUCUUCGAAGGUGGCUGAUCUCGGAGCCAGCAUGAGCCGACGGAGGGAUAUCGGAUGACGAUGUGAGUCUGGUGGGUCACUUCCUCAGGGAGACGCUGUAGAUGCCCCGGGAGCGGUUGGCGAGUGAGUCUUCUUGAUUGGAUCCUGCACCAUGCAGCCAUUGUAUUCUCCCGCUGUCAAUUGUAAUCUGGAUUCUCUCAGCUUGGAUCAGGCCAGAGGGUUCAAGUCUCUAUCCAAUACCUUCCUAAGCUUUUUUCUCAGCACUUGAAAGGACCUUGAUCAGAAACUUGAGCACCUGCUGUAUUAAACUAUGCUCCUCCAGAAGGCAUGCCGGCACCAUGUCCUAGUAAUAAUCAUCAGUAGCACCCACUAAGGGCCCUGGGCAUGCCUGCAGCUGCCACUGGGAAUUCUGAGAUCUGAAAUGUGGAUGCUGCAGGUGCGACAUUAAUCGUUUGCUGGAAGGAGAGCUGCAGGCAUUGGAAACGAGUAUAUCUGGCAUGUAUCAGAAAAUAUUCCAUUUUAGCCGGCUCCUGGUGAUUUUGCAGAAUUAAUGAUGCUUCUUGCACCACAGAUCCAAGAGCAGCAUCUCGUUCCAUGAGUUCUGAACCCUUCUACGGCCCCCAGAUACCUUGUAUUGCUGGUGCAGACGGGAAAGCAUAUUAAAACUAACAUGUGAUUACUUGGUUAGGCUUAAGAUUAAAUAAGGAACACAAUUGUUCUUUUUUAUGGGUUCCUUCAUAAGUUGAAUGUGGCAUCUCUAAUAAUUUGGUUUUGCAUAUUUUUUGAUGCAGCAGUAGUACCUCAAGCGGUGGGCUUUUCCAAAAAGUAUUACCAUGACAGCAAUCUCCCUAUCUCCGAGGGACGUCUCCUUCGAAUCCACAAAACGAGAAUUUAGUUUUGGAGGAACAUGUUCCGAUUCAAACUUAAUAUUCUCCAUUAGCAAAGAAGAAGAGUAUUCUGACAGGACAAAAGCCCUCUUUUCUUUCAAUGAGGAGAAGAAGAAGAAGAGGAGAGAGAGAAAGAGAAAGUAAAGAGACGAUGCAGUCUGGACGGCCCAUCUACUGCAGGUAAAACCAUACAUAGUCUCAAACCUCCAUUUCCUCUUCCCUCUUCCAGGGCACAAGGGCAGAACUUUGUCACAUAGGGAGAGAAGCAAGUAAAAGAGACGGUGCCCGAUGGCAGAUGCACAGUUGAGUACCAGCGAGUUGAUAUGCUCCUGUAACAGCCACCAAGACACAAAAGACACUGGCGAAGAUGUUGAGGAGGAGAAAGAUAAACAAUGGCGAAGCAAGCACUCGGCAGAACAAGUGGGCAAGUACACUCUGUCCUCCAUGGUCGACACGUAGGGAAACCAGGAGGAGAAACAAACACAGCAAUUGGCACAUCCGCUGCUGCUCCCCCGUCAACAAUCUCCUCAAUCACACUCCACUCCCGUUGGAGACAGCCAUGACAAAAUCAACCAUCAUCGUCAUCAUCAAGCAGCAGCGGCUUAUUUGGCAGACAAACGAACACAUGCGAUGGGCGGCAAUGACACUGUGCGCAGGGAGGAAUAACAUCAGCGCCUGCGUGCGGCGGUCUCCCUCUGGGCGUUGAAGUAGACGGCAGCGACGGGGAGGUCGAGGUCGUUCUCCUGCGCGAAGCCGCGGGUGCUGAAGCGGUCCCUCGAUAGCGGCGCCGCGGCCACCGACUGCCCCCGCUUCUGCUUGAACAGGACGAAGACGAAACGAUGGAUGCCGAUGCUGGGCCGCGGGCUCUCGUAGCUCACCACCUCCUUCCCUGCUCACACCACCGCAUCAACACACACGCGUUAGGCCUCAUGUCAAACACAGCAGAGCGCAGAGGGGACGACCCACCGAAAGACGCAUCAGUCGUGCCGGGGAUAUCAGUCACCACCCUGCAUGCAAAUCCACCACUGAACAUGCUCCCGUAGGUAAGGAUCGCUGGGGCCGGGCGCGUCUGGGUCUGUCAUCACCUGCGACAGCAGAAGCAACUGCUGAAGAUGAUGCAUCAGCUAUGGAGAAGAGCAGCUAUGGCGCCGUACGCACGUACCAGCGUGAAGAAAGACCUCAUCUCGCCGCCUUGGACCUCCACUCUGGGCUUGGAGACGACGGCGGAGGGGAAUAACUCAUGGCCAUUGCAGACGAGCUUGUUGGAGUUGUAGGUCACCAUCAUCUUCACGCUGGGGUUGAACGAGUCGAUGACUUCUCCGAUCACCCUCCCUACCGUCAGUGGGUCCGACGACAGCCUCGCCAUGCCGGAAGGAGGAGAAUGUGGAAGGCAGCAGUUGUGGGUGAGAAGGGAAUGCUUUGGCAAGGAGAUGGCUCCUCUAUUUAUAGUGCUCAAGGGAGUAUCUCAUCUGUCACUGCCUGUGAUCAGCUCUGCUGGUGGGGACGCCCCUUCCUGGGUUCCAUCCAUGGAUGGCGCCACUGCGCAUGUCUCGACCCAAGUGGCAACCCUAACACAGACUGAGGAUAAAAGGAAUGAUGGGAGCACACCUUUUUCUAUUAAGGCAAAGAGAUGGGAGGGAGAACGUGAGGAUGGUGAUGCUCUGACCUCCCCAAGCUUCAUUUCCAUGGGAGGAAGUUGCCGUAACUGGCUAUAUUCUCUGCAGGAGUAGAAGGAAUAAAGACGAGGGAUAGACACACUCUUUCACAAAGCAAUGGCAGUAGUGCUAUGGUGCCAUCUCAUGCAAAGUGAUCCUGUGGUCCUUAAUCAGGUUGUGCCAUUGCUCAAGUGGGUAAAUGUUGGGUGCUCACCAGAUCAUGGAGGGGUAGAAGGGAGACAUUGAGAUGUGCAGGUCACACAUUGUCCACUAUGGCACAUCUGCAGCAGCGUUACCGGUCAAUAGCAAAUGGUCCAAUCCACUCAUUGCAUCCCAUCUGCACACUAAAUUUGGUUCUGAUUCAGGCCAGGCAAGGGUUGACCCACUCUUUCUGAUAUGAACUCAAUUCAAUUGCACAUGUUCAUAUAACAGGGUUAAAAAAAAAUGUAACAGGGAAAAAUCCCAUCUCAGGACAAAAAUAAUAAUAAUUGUGGAUAUUUGAGUUCUCA